AACGGGGAUUGCCUCAGUAACGGCGAGUGAAGCGGCAAGAGCUCAAAUUUGAAAGCUGGCUCCUUCGGAGUCCGAAUUGUAUUUUGCAGAGGAUGCUUUGGGUGCGGCCCCCGUUUAAGUGCCCUGGAACGGGCCGUCAGAGAGGGUGAGAAUCCCGUCUUGGGCGGGGUGUCCGUGCCCGUGUAAAGCUCCUUCGACGAGUCGAGUUGUUUGGGAAUGCAGCUCUAAAUGGGUGGUAAAUUUCAUCUAAAGCUAAAUACUGGCCGGAGACCGAUAGCGCACAAGUAGAGUGAUCGAAAGAUGAAAAGCACUUUGAAAAGAGAGUUAAACAGCACGUGAAAUUGUUGAAAGGGAAGCGCUUGCGACCAGACUCGCCCGCGGGGUUCAGCCGGCAUUCGUGCCGGUGUACUUCCCCGUGGGCGGGCCAGCGUCGGUUUGGGCGGCCGGUCAAAGGCCCCUGGAAUGUAGUACCCUCCGGGGUACCUUAUAGCCAGGGGUGCAAUGCGGCCAGCCUGGACCGAGGAACGCGCUUCGGCACGGACGCUGGCAUAAUGGUCGUAAACGACCCGUCUU
rnacentral:rRNA from 1 species